rnacentral:rRNA from 1 species
GACGAACGCUGGCGGCGUGCUUAACACAUGCAAGUCGAACGGAAAGGCCCUGCUUUUGUGGGGUGCUCGAGUGGCGAACGGGUGAGUAACACGUGAGUAACCUGCCCUUGACUUUGGGAUAACUUCAGGAAACUGGGGCUAAUACCGGACAGGAGCUCCUGCUGCAUGGUGGUGGUUGGAAAGUUUCGGCGGUUGGGGAUGGACCCGCGGCUUAUCAGUUUGUUGGUGGGGUAGUGGCUUACCAAGGCUUUGACGGGUAGCCGGCCUGGGAGGGUGACCGGCCACAUUGGGACUGAGAUACGGCCCAGACUGCUACGGGAGGCAGCAGUGGAAAAUAUUGCACAAUGGGCGGAAGCCGGAUGCAGCAACGCCGCGUGCGAGAUGACGGCCGUCGGGUUGUAAACCGCUUUCGCGUGUGACGAAGCGUGAGUGACGGUAAUGGGUAAAGAAGCACCGGCUAACUACGUG